GCCUGGGUGGCUCAGUCGGUUAAGCGUCAGACUUCGGCUCAGGUCAUGAUCUCACAGUUUGUGGGUUCGAGCCCCACAUUGGGCU
rnacentral:tRNA from 1 species